GACGAACGCUGGCGGCGUGCUUAACACAUGCAAGUCGAACGGACAGGCCCUGCUUUUGUUCGGUGCUCGUUUGGCGAACGCGUGUGUAUCACGUGUGUAACCUCCCCUUGUCUUUGGGAUAACUUCUGGAAACUCGGGCUCUUACCCCAUAGGAGCUCCUGCUGCAUGGUGGUGGUUGGAAAGUUUCGGCGGUUGGGGAUGGACUCGCGGCUUCUCAGCUUGUUUGUGGGGUAGUGGCUUACCAAGGCUUUGACGGGUAGCCGGCCUGUGAGGGUGACCGGCGACAAUGGGACUGAGAUAGGGAGCAGACUGGAACGGGAGGCAGCAGUGGGGAAUAUUACAGAAUGGGGGGAAGCGUGAGGAAGAAACGCCGCGAGCGGGAAGACGGCCUACGGGGUGAAAACAGCUUUGGAAUGAGACGAAGAGGGAGUGACGGUAAUGGGUAAAGAAGCAACGGCUAACUACGUG
rnacentral:rRNA from 1 species